UGGCCCCUAUAAACACACCUCAUUGACCAGCAGGGCUACAUUGAGGUACCCUAUAGACACCUAUAGGUACCUGUGGACACCCCUAUAGACACCUAUUGACACCUAUAGAGCCAGAGCUCAUUGACCAGCAGGGCUACAUUAAGGUACCCUAUAGACACCUAUAGGUACCU